UUGGUAUACCUCUGGUAUGUGUUUGUUCCUCUUAUUGCUUGGUGUUUGAAUCUCUGUGUAUUUCUUCCCUGUCCACUGGCCAUGAAUGCUGCAAACUCAGCAAUUAGUUUGUUGUCCUGUUGUUUUGCUUGACUUGCUGCCAGAAAUGAUCCAGAAUCAGAGAUGUAGUUUGUGUUUGCAUACACUUCCCUUUGAUUCUCAUCCUGCAAAAGCAAUGAAUAUGCAAUAUCCAUUUCAGGUGGUAGAUUUUGGCACCACUUGACUUGCCAAACUUCUGCUCCAGACUGUCCCAAAGUUCCUUAGCAGUUUUGAAACUCAUCACACUAUCUGCAAUAUCCUUAGAGAGUGCAUUUGAUAUCCAACAUAUGAUCAUGUCGUUAACACAACUCCAUUGUUCAAAAUCUGUAGAUUCCAGUUCUGGAGCCCUACAGGUUCCAUUGAUGAAGCCAAGUUUCUUCUUGGCUGAUAAGGAUAAGAGGAUGGAUCUCCUCCAACCUGGAUAUCCUCUUCCGUCGAAAACAUUGUUGACCAGAGUCAUACCAGGCAUUUUGCUUCAAUAGGGAUUUGAAGAUGAUGAUGAUGCAGAUUUUGAAGGUGAUGAUGAUGAUACAAACACAGAUCAGUGAUGAUGAUGAUACAAACACAGAUCUGAAUUGAGCUUAGAAAUGCUCUGAUACCAUGUAAAAAUUAAAGAGAGAAAGAGGCUGAGAUAAAUUUUCUGUGUGUUUUAUUGAUGCUAUGUACAUUAGUUUAUAUAGAGUUAUACAAUAGAGACAAGAAGACAUGGGCUACAAAAUUUGUACAAAA